UAAAAAGGAGAUGCAGGAACAACAGUUUGAACCACCUGGGUAUAAAAUCCAUUUGUUUUUACUGAGGCAGUGUAGGGUGCCAGAUCUUCAGAUUUACAUCUUACAGCAAUAUGAGUCUUAAUUCAGUUGGGAGAGGCUCUUAAUCUCAAAUUUCAGAAGUGUCAUCAGCAUAAACAAGAUCAGGAUCAGCCCAUAAUAGCAAUUUGCCAACCGGCAAACCUCCUCAGCAUAAACACCGGGGAGCCCCCGCUGGGUCCUGGAAAUCCCGCUUGUCUGCAAGUGCACAAUAUACAAGGCAAAUCUCCAUAAAGCUCAGUGCCACAGUUGAAUACAAACACUCCUAAGGUCCUGCUGUGACUUGGCAUACCCCGCUGGACAGCUGGAAACUGAGAGGAAAGGAGCUGCUGCCAAUAACGGGUUACAGGGGAUUGUUGGUGCAAAGUUUCCUGGAAACAGGCAGUGACUGACGUUAUUAUUUUGUUGGAGGAUACUGAUGUGAAAUAUAAGAUAUAUGCAAUGAUACACAAUUGCAUUUGAUAAAUAUCUGACAGGAUAUACAGUAAAACAGCACCUUUUUUAUAUGAUCCCUGUGCUUUGGCUAGGAAUUAAACCCUGAGA